CCUACGGGACGCAGCAGUGAGGAAUAUUGGUCAAUGGCCGCAGGGCUGAACCAGCCAAGUCGCGUGAGGGAUGACGGUCCUAUGGAUUGUAAACCUCUUUUGUCAGGGAGCAAAGGGCGCCACGUGUGGCGUUUUGCGAGUACCUGAAGAAAAAGCAUCGGCGAACUCCGUGCCAGCAGCCGCGGGAAUACGGAGGAUGCGAGAGUUAUCCGGAUAUAUUGGGGGUAAAGGGGGCGUAGGCGGAAUAUCAAGUGAGCGGGAAAAAUUCGGGGCUCAAAACCGU
rnacentral:rRNA from 1 species